CAGAAGCUACGCAGGCCACGCUCAGCCUGUCGGCUCGGAGAGGAAGUGCAGUCGCGUUGCUCUUCCAGUCUUUUCGGAUCUCAGCCAGAGAAGCGAGGGCAGCUGUGUGUUAAGGAGAAGAUGAAAACCAGAGAAAAAAACCCAGAGUGAAACCUGUGAAAAAGGAAAAAGAGUCGGAGCACUUACCCAGUGGAGGUCAGGAGCCAAGUGGCUGAACGAAGGAGAGUUACGUCGGUAAGACGAGUUAAUUAUCCGAUGAAAAGAUAGCUUGACGCUUACCGUCGUCGUCCAUGCUAAUGCUAGCUCUGUGCUUAGCAGGCUAACUGCUUGCCUGUCCUCCGGAGAGCUGCUACGAGGUUCGGCAUCGGCAUGCUCCACCUUGAUACACAGAGCAACGGUCAGGUUUUUUAGAGGACUGAAGAGUCUGAGGUUCAGGACAACUUCCUGCUGUAAAAGAACUACCCUGAUUGAAGAUUAGCACCGAGGAGAUAUUCACGUACACACUCAUUCACACAAAUAAUACACUCACAUUACACUACAAGGAACCUUGGAAUCAGGUGAACUUGCAACAACUCCUUUUAUUUUAAGUGCCCCAACAGACAUUUUUGUUUUAAGUGUGCACACUACUUUUUUUUAUUUUUCUUACUGUUUGGUAUAAUAUUUUGCAGUUUGUACGAACCAGACAAAUUACUUUGUUCACUGUAAAAUAUAAGAGUGGCUACUCAAUUGUUA